CACGUAGGGGGCGAGCGUUGUCCGGAUUUAUUGGGCGUAAAGAGCUCGUAGGCGGCUCGGUAAGUGAGGUGUGAAAACUCCAGGCUCAACCUGGAGACGCCACCUCAUACCGCCGUGGCUAGAGUCCGGUAGGGGAGCAUGGAAUUCCUGGUGUAGCGGUGAAAUGCGCAGAUAUCAGGAGGAACACCAGUGGCGAAGGCGGUGCUCUGGGCCGGAACUGACGCUGAGGAGCGAAAGCGUGGGGAGCAAACAGG
rnacentral:rRNA from 1 species